ACGGAGGGUGCAAGCGUUGUCCGGAUUUAUUGGGUUUAAAGGGUGCGUAGGCGGCUUUUUAAGUCAGUGGUGAAAUACUGCAGCUCAACUGUUAGAACUGCCAUUGAUACUGGGAAGCUUGAGUACAGACGAGGUAGGCGGAAUUGACAGUGUAGCGGUGAAAUGCUUAGAUAUUGUCAAGAACACCUAUUGCGAAGGCAGCUUACUAGACUGUAACUGACGCUGAGGCACGAAAGCGUGGGGAUCAAACAGGA
rnacentral:rRNA from 1 species